rnacentral:rRNA from 1 species
GCACAAGCGGUGGAGCAUGUGGUUCAAUUCGAUGCAAACCGAAGAACUUACCCGGGUUUGACAUGCUGGUGGUACUGACCCGAAAGGGAAGGGACCCAGGGCCUUCGGGCGCUUGGGAACCAGCACAGGUGCUGCAUGGCUGUCGUCAGCUCGUGUCGUGAGAUGUUGGGUUAAGUCCCGCAACGAGCGCAACCCUCGCCUUUAGUUGCCAGCAUUCAGUUGGGCACUCUAAAGGGACUGCCGGUGUCAAACCGGAGGAAGGUGGGGAUGACGUCAAGUCCUCAUGGCCUUUAUGUCUAGGGCUACACACGUACUACAAUGGCAGGUACAAAGGGCAGCGACACAGCGAUGUGAUGCGAAUCCCGAAAAGCCGGUCUCAGUCCGGAUUGGAGUCUGCAACUCGACUCCAUGAAGUUGGAAUCGCUAGUAAUCGUGGAUCAGCAUGCCACGGUCGAAUACGUUCCCGGGCCUU